GUCUGAUAAUUGAGCCUAGGUUGGGUAAACAACUGAGGAGUGAUGAAACAGCAAUGUGUGGGUAUCCCAUUCAUGGUGAGGUGUUCGCCUAGACAUACCAUCGGUCUGAUAAUUCAGCCUAGUUUGGGGAUAACAGUCAUGGUCCGGUACUCUAACAGUGGUCUGAUAAUUGAGCCUAGGUUGGGUACACAACUGAGGAGUGAUGAAACAGCAAUGUGUGGGUAUCCCAUUCAUGGUGAGGUGUUCGCCUAGACAUACCAUCGGUCUGAUAAUUCAGCCUAGGUUGGGGAUAACAGUCAUGGUCCGGUACUCUAAAAGUAGUCUGAUAAUUGAGCCUAGGUUGGGUAAACAACUGAGGAGUGAUGAAACAGCAAUGUGUGGGUAUCCCAUUCAUGGUGAGGUGUUCGCCUAGACAUACCAUCGGUCUGAUAAUUCAGCCUAGGUUGGGGAUAACAGUCAUGGUCCGGUACUCUAACAGUGGUCUGAUAAUUGAGCCUAGGUUGGGUACACAACUGAGGAGUGAUGAAACAGCAAUGUGUGGGUAUCCCAUUCAUGGUGAGGUGUUCGCCUAGACAUACCAUCGGUCUGAUAAUUCAGCCUAGGUUGGGGAUAACAGUCAUGGUCCGGUACUCUAACAGUGGUCUGAUAUAUCAGCCUAGGUUGGGUAAACAACUGGGGAUUGAUGAAGCAUCAAUGAGUGGGG